rnacentral:rRNA from 1 species
CCCUUAGAUGUUCUGGGCCGCACGCGCGCUACACUGAUGCAUUCAACGAGUCUAAAACCUGGUCUGAUAGGGCUGGGUAAUCUUUUGAAUGUGCAUCGUGAUUGGGAUAGAUGAUUGCAAUUCUUCAUCUUCAACGAGGAAUGCCUAGUAAACGCAAGUCAUCAGCUUGCAUUGAUUACGUCCCUGCCCUUUGUACACACCGCCCGUCGUUCCUACCGAUUGAAUGUUCCGAUGAAUACCAUGGACUGAGAGUAUGAAUGGGUUCGCCUAUUUCUGCUUCUCGGGAAGUGGAGUAAAUCUUAACAUUUAGAGGAAGGAGAAGUCGUAACA